rnacentral:rRNA from 1 species
UACGAAGGGUGCAAGCGUUAAUCGGAAUUACUGGGCGUAAAGGGUGCGUAGGCGGUUGUUUAAGUCUGUCGUGAAAUCCCCGGGCUCAACCUGGGAAUGGCGAUGGAUACUGGACAGCUAGAGUGUGUCAGAGGAUGGUGGAAUUCCCGGUGUAGCGGUGAAAUGCGUAGAGAUCGGGAGGAACAUCAGUGGCGAAGGCGGCCAUCUGGGACAACACUGACGCUGAAGCACGAAGGCGUGGGGAGCGAACAGG